rnacentral:lncRNA from 1 species
AGGAGGAGUUGACAGGAAGGCCUCGCCUGUGUCUUGUCCAAUAUUCCCAGCAGAAUAGGCCCACUGGAGCCCAGAGGUAGCUACAGCCUAUCUGGUGAGCUUCCCCAGGGGGCUCAGGACUGGUGGGAUGGGAUGAUGGGCCCCUCAGUGUCUAUAUAGGGUGGGAUGGUGGGCCCCUCAGUGUCUAUAUAGAUAGCAAGUGUCCUCAUCAUGCUCUUCACCAAAACAACCGUCACCAGGAAGCAGCAAGCAGAGGCCACUCAUGGGGGACUGGGGCCUACGGUUUUCUCAAAAUGUCCUUAAACCAGAGCCAGUCCUGUCGUGCAAAGCUGAGGCUCCAAGGUAGGGAGGUAGCCACAGGAGGCCUGGGCCAUUCAUUUCUCUUUUAAAGACAAUGGCCUCCUGCUGCUUCCUCAGCCUUAUGGUUCCAAUAAAGAGUCCUUGAUCGAUUGCACAACCUCUGUUCCCUAUUGCCAAAUGUCCCCAAAGCCAGACUGAGAAACAGCCUGCCCGCUGCCCCCAUAAAGUGCUAUUUCACAUGCCCUGACCCAAUCCUAGACUAGAAAGAGGCCCCCUUGAUUCCACUCCCGCAGCCUGGGGUAAGAGCAGACCACGAGAAGUGCACUGUAGUCCAGCUCCCAAUGGCUACAAUUAUAAAAUUAAAUGGUAUAACUUGCAUGAUGGCUGCAAAUCUCCAUGGCUGGCCAUUUCUUCCUGCUGCCAGGCCCCUUGGCACAGUUGACAUUGUCUCAAAUUCCAGACCAGAAAAAAAGGGCCCACUAUAUUGCAGUGAUUUUAUCAUUAACGAGACCUGUUUGGCUCCAAAAUGAGGAAAAACACUUAAGCAUAAUAUUUAUGUAGUUCAAAUGCAAUGGCCCCUCUUGUCAUGUGUCACCAAGGCAAAUCUGGACUCUGAUUCAGCGCUCCAGCCCACAACAGGAGACUUGAACGCAAACAGCCUGAGUCACGCAGGCUCAGCAUGCAUGUGGGAGGCCUGUUCUUGGCUGCGUAUUUUAAGCACCGGCUUUGUGGAUGAAAGGCCAUGGGGCCAGGUCUUGCAGCAACCCCCAUCAUCCCUUUCCCUCAGAAGUAUGAAAAUGUCUUUUUUCUAGAGCGCUCUGUGUUGGUCAGCCAUGGUGUGACUCAGUGCCUCUGGAUGAAGCCUUCCUUAGCUCCUCCCUCCUCUUAUCUCUGCCAUAGAUCCUUGGCUUCCUGAUGAUCAAACUGAAAAAUCUGCAGUUUUCUUGCAGAAAAACAAACAAUUCCAAUGGAACAACCAUUCAAAACAUAAUAACUCAGCCCUUUAACCUCCUACCACAGUCUAAUGCCUGGCAUUACGAGUUGGGGUAAAGAAGAAGGCAGGAACAAUGAUUGUGGAGAGCUCUAUCUGCCUCAGAAAUAAUGCCAGUCGGCAAAGGCUGCCGGCAGGUUUUGUGCUCAUUUCAAAACUUCACAUUCCUCAGGCACUUAGUGGCAUUUUUGAAGAACACUGUGUCAAGGACAGUGGGUGACCCAGGAGAGUGAUGUGAGCGAGGUCAUUCUGAAUACACAGCACUUGACGUGGUAGAGUCUACAGCCACAGCUUGGAAAAACAGCUCUUGGCAGUUGUGUCUCUCUUAGCCAGCAAGCGUGGGGACCUGUGCCACGGAGACACCCAACAGGAAUCAUCAUUCCAGGUAAGCCAGUCCUGUGGUCAGGCACAACGUGAGGUAUUUUUUGUUUGUUUGUUUCUUUGUUUUUUAUUUUAAUUAGUCCCCCUCAUUACUAUAUACUUAGAAAUGAGAGCUUUAACUUGUGAGCAAUUUCUAUACCAGCUGAUACCUGCCAAAAUUGUAGUCAUUUAUAGAGAUUAACUGAUGACUGUCUGCUUUAGCAGAAGUGUUCAGGCAUAACUCUCAGAGAAAACAAUUCUUCACUCUAAGCUGUUUUCUAAGCCCUGGGAGUCUCAGGGCUGAGUUUAAUGCUGGAGGAUUGGGGAAGAGCCCAUUCCACUCUCCCCACGUGUGUUCCUGGGAGUCAGUAGGAACGUUAUUGCCUUGGUAGGGGUCUUGACCCUCAGGCUCACAAUGGUGCUGGAGAGCUGUGACACCAAGGCACAGGGGAAAUGAGAAGCAUUAUCAUAUUCAGGGUGUGGUUUGGAUGCACUUACAAGCUAGAUCGAAGGAACAUCUAAUUCUUACUUUCUGAAACCAUCAGACCUCAUGUGCCAAAUAGCAAUAUUUUGCAUGAAAUAUAGGAACUUCCGAUAUAAACUUUCAAGCUGGGGAAAAUGAAUACUUUAUGUCUUCAGUUUCCUGUAUCUGUGUUCAGUUAAAAGGCUCAUUUGCCCCCCGAAUGUUAAAUAGAGGAGUAUGGAAAAUGUCUACUAUCCAAUUCACUUUUCUUCUUUCUCACUGAGUACCGGGCUUUAGAGGGCAACAGGGAAUUCGACCCUGGGUCAAGCCCUUGGGUAGAACCAGGAUGCAGCUCUGAACACCUGCAUGCUGGCAGCUUGGCUUCUUCAGCAUGUUUGGAAUCAACUGUGAAUGUUUACAGGGCGGUGCUUUAAAGUAGUGGGCACAUCAAGAUUUCACCCUGGGACAUCUUAAUCUUAAGCAGAGUUGAAAAAGGUCCUAAAUUCUUCUAGUACCAUUUUCUCAUUUUUGAAAAAAAUGAAAGUACUUGCUUGGAAUUUUAUUAUGUAUGCAGAGUCAUAAAAAUCCAAAAAAGGGGAAAAAAUUGUAUAUAAUAAAAAUAAGUCAAUGCCGUUUGCAAAAUUUUACUUCAUUCCAAAGGCAUUCCUAUUGUUUUCGGGGUUGGCUGCUCAUUAGGCCAUCCUUAAAUGUUAUGAUAUUUUGUGACGGAUAGUGAGACCAGCUUUCACUUUUCUGCCAUACAAAAUAAACUGAGCAGGUAUGCAUAUCUCGUUGAUAACCGAGCUGCCUUUUUCAAGACACCAUUGUGAUCUGUGGCUGUAAGUAACAUAAAUGUAAUAUAUGAUCUUCCAUUAAAGAAACCAGAUAAGGUUAAAUUGCCACCGUUUCUUGGAAAAUUUUGGUUAGAUAGAAUAAAGAAUUUUCUGGCAGUCAACAACAUAUUAGUCUAUGUUUCCGAUAUGGGUUUACUAGUUUUCUUGAUAGAUUCUUAGCAGAAAAAUGAGGAAGGUAUAUACUCAGAAGACUGUCAUGAUGAGCCGUUGAGCCAAAUCUAUGCAAAAGCAUAAUACCAAAAAGAUAUAUUUCUCUCUGUAUAUACAUGUAUAAAAUUGUGGUUCUUCUAAAAGCAUAUAAGAAUUUUAUAUAGUCAAUUUUAAAAGGAUAUCUGUAUUUCAGAAGAUGUUGGCCAGUCAAUUGGAUACUCACUACAUGAAUCUGGAUAUAAAAAUAUGGGGUUUUCUUCCUUUGAUUUGCUACUGUUUUAUGACAAUGGAAAAGAAAUCAAUGUGUGUAGAGAACAGCUUACUUUUCCUGGUAUCACAGUCUAACCUUUAGGUUGCAGGGUCAUUAGGAUUUCAAAGUGACAGUACUGAAUGUGACUCUUCCUGAAGCCCCUUGCAGAUGGUAAAAUAAAUCUCCCUAAUUGCAAACCUAACCAUAUGCUGGCUAAUUUAAUGUUGGGAAAUAUUCUUCAAUAUUAUUUACCAUACCACAUGUAUAUUAUAUAUACUAUAUAAUAUAAACUAUAUAAUGGUAUAUAGUAUGUCAGUAUACAUUCUAAUUCAUAUUAUAUAUGCAUGCUUAUAUAUUGUCCAGUGCUACGUAACUAUGGGUAGCCUCACUUUCCCCCACCCCAAUUUCUUCUCAUAUCGUUAAGCUAAGACAACACCACAAGGUUGGAGUACUUCAGAACUGGAGAAUGGCCACAGAAAUCAGCCUUGGUUUUUAACUAAUGUGUGGGAAGUGAGGUUCAGAGAGGUUAUGUCAUUUGCCCAAUCUCACACGGCCAGUUACAGGAAGAGGGCAGGUCUGAAAACACACACACUCUCAACACCCACCGACACACACACUCGGAAUGUACACUCAGUGCACCUAGAAAUUCAACACCCACGGACACACACACUCAGAUAUGUACACUCAGUGCACCUAGAAAUUCAACACUCACCGACACACACACUCGGGAUGUACACUCAGUGUGCCUAGAAAUUCAACACCCACCGACACACACACUCGGGAUGUACACUCAGUGCACCUAGAAAUACACAUUUCUGUGAACUCAAAGCGAACAGGGUGGAGAAGUGCACAAUGCUUCAUAGUUUUAGAUCUCAGAGACACGAAAGCACUUGAACUUUUGCAUUCUGCCUCAACCAUCUCACUUCUGCUCCCAGUGUGUGUGUAGAAUCAGAAGACAGCCCCAGCCACACUGUGACCUGCAGGCUGUGAGGCUGUGUUUCACCUGCUUGAGUGGGCAAUGGAAUUACCUGGGCAUUCUAGUUUGGUAGGUUGGUCUAGGGUGAAGGGCCUGAGAAUUUGGAGUUCUAAUAAGGUCCCAGGUGAUGCUGAGGCUGCCGAUACAGGGAGCACGCUGGGAAUAUCUGCAUGAGAGGGAGAGCUCCUCCUGAUACUCAAGCUUCCAAUGUGCAUUACUACUUCCCUUCUCCUGCCUGCUUCUGAUUUGCUGUGUGCUGGGGAGAAACACGCGAACUAAAUAUGCCUGAACUGUGUUUAGACUGUGUUCAUGAGCAAUGACUGACGGCCUCCUUUUGGUGAUAACUAUUUGGCCGUCUUUUCAUUUUUUUAACUCUUCAAUACACACAGAGCAGCUGAAAAUGCCCAAACUCUGCCCUGCAGAUAGGCCGGUGUGUGACCGUCUCUGUCUCCUACAAUAACUGGGCACAUUCUGUCAGAGUCACUGUCAUGAUAAUCAGUCUGAUUGCUAAGGUGAACCCCAGAUUCUCAAGUAGGAAGUAAUUUCUGCUGUGCCAUCUAUAGAAAGACUUUGGGGAAUGGCAGGGAAGGGUUACAUGGAACCUUUAUUCCGUUCCACAAAUGCAGCAGUUAAGUUCUCUGAGUGCCCACAGGACCGGGUGUUAAUGCAGAUGCCACAAUCCUCCUCCCCUCUAGAGAAACAACAUGGUCCCAGGGAAACGUGAAUGCUAGAGUAGGCGUUAAGAAUUCUCCAUUCUAAAUCUGCUUUUCUACCAACCUUUGCUGUGGACAAGAACAAGUCUCUUCAUCACUGAGGCUCCGUAUCUGGAAGCCUGGAAUUAAGAGACUAAGAAGGAUUACUCCAAGGGACUCUAAAAGCAUCCACAACAAUUACAUCUGCUGCCAUUAUCUACUCAACUGGUUCUAAGCACGGUCUUUCUUGAACAACUUCUAAUGAGGUUACGACUUUCAAAGUUUUCCCUUUUGUCUUUUUUCAGGCAGACACCUGGCUGCGGGAGCCACUGCCAAGUCUAGCUGUCAGGAAGUUGUCAGAGGCUGCACCUGGGAAGAAAGCCACUCUGCGGAACACUCAUCCAGGCUCUCAUUUCCCAGCUUCUUGUCUGGGUUGGAAAACAAUGAGACAUCUGCCCUGAAUGCCCACCUUUUCCAUCAGUGGCAGUAGGCACAUAAGUCUUAGAUGAGGAAUCUGAGGGUCUAAGAGGAGACAUGAGCUGCUGAGAUUGACUGAGCUAGCAGGGCCAGACAUAGACUCCACGGGCAGGCCCGCAGUCUUUCCACCAGGUCAGGCCACUCCCUCGCCCAGGGCUCAAGAUUCCUUUUAGAGUUCAACAGAGCAGCUCCCGAGAACAGACCAGCCCUCAAGACUCAAAUUUCAGUGGUUUCCAGUUCUUUCUCCCUGCACUCAGCUACCUAUUUAUUUUGAGACUGGCUGAAUCACCCGAAGAAUAGAACGGGUUUCUCUGAAGCUGCUCCCGGCAGCAUGUCAGCAAAUGAACAGGACAGCGAGCUGGCCUCUGGAGCCUUGGAAGAUUCUCACCUCCAAGCAGCUGCAGUUUUUGACUCGUCCUGGGAAACUGGCACUGAGACUCAGGGGUGUAACAUUUCACCUCCCUGAAAUCAAAUCCAGAAAUCUCAGGCGAGCAGCAUAUAUAAAAAGCCACAGGGGAAAAAAGGAAUACGGACUCAGCAACUCUUAGGUGCUCUGAGCCUCUUCCCAAGCCUUCUGGUUCUGUGAGCAUUUCAUUGAAAGAAAAUGGAAUAACAGAGUUUUAGAAGAAAAACUGUAUUUGGUCUUGCAAGAGAAAAGUAUAUUCAUAUAAAACUCAGUUCUCAACUAUUUGCCAAGGUUACUUCUUUUGUUUCCAACAUUUAAAAAGGGUAUCUAGUUGUAGGUAGAGAAAACAUUAAGAUAUGUGAAUGGAAAAAGGUAAAAUUUCUAAAAGUAUGGAUUCACAGUGGGGUCUGAUUUAAAUGUUUAAAUUUUUUCUCUUUAAUUUCUUCUCACCAAUCCUGAAAGACACGACGAGAUAAUAUCUACUUUCAAUAAAUCAAUUAAUUUUAUUUAAAAUCCCUAAGAUUUUAAUAUAGUACAUGCAAAACAAUAAUAGAUUUUCUAUUUUUUAAUUAUCUAAUUAUAUUUAUAUUAUCUAAUUGACAGACUACUUAAAAAGCACAUUGAUAUAUAUUAUCUCAAUGUGUCCUCAAGAACCCUGUGCAGUAGGCAGAACUCAUAGUAUUAUUCCCAUCUUAUAGAUGACCCAGGGGAAGCUUCUAGAUGCUCAGAGCUUUGCAGGUCACACAACAGCAUAGGUGCUUCAUGUUAAGAAGCAGAACUGCAUUUUGAUAAAACCUUUAAUUGGAAAAAGAUCACCUCUCCCUCAAGGAAGUAGGGCAACAUGGUUGACAGGGUUAUGUUUCAAUGAGGAAUACAUUUGUUGAAGCCAGUUCAGUGAUGCAGUAAUUGGAAUUAAUAAUAGGUAGUAUGGAAGGAAAAGAGAAAAAGCCCUUAUUGUACUGUAUUGUGAGGGCCAAAUCUGCCAAGCUUUUUUUUUUCUUCUUUUUUUUUAAGUACUUGGCAAUGGUAAAUAUUUGGCCCCCACUUGAACAGAAUUCCAUUUGUUUCCUCUCAUAAGGUCUUUGGGACAUGGUCAAGGGGCCUACCCGUCUAGAGCAUGUGCUUUAAUAAUAGCAGCUAAUAUUUAAGGAACACUUCUGUGCCCAGCACGGUGCUAUGCCCUAACAUGAAUUAUUUUAUUCAAUCCGCACAAUAAUCCCCAACAGAGGGAUAUCAUACUCCUGGUUUUAUACCCAAGGAGGCUGAGGGUGGGGAGGUUAAUCUGAUCCCGAAGGGGAGGCCAGGCUGAAUCAGGAAGCCAGCUCUGGAGCUUCGCCAUCAGCCACUGCUCCAGCUCGCCUUUCAGGCUAUCUCUUUUAAUCCUCACAUCCCCUAGCAAGAGAGGUAUCAUGCAGUCCAUUCUACAGAUGGGAAAACUGUGAAACGCAGUUUUAGACUUGAAGCUCCAAACUCCUUUCUCGCUCACCGAGGCUACCUGAGCACCCUGGUUCACUUUAUUUUUUGAGACAGAGUCUCACUCUGUCACCCAGGCUGGAGUGCAGUGGAGCAAUCUCGGCUCACAGCAACCUCUGCCUCUCGAGUUCAAGUGAUUCUCCUGCCUCAGCAUCCCGAGUAGCUGGGAUUAUAGGCGCCUGCCACCAUGCCCGGCUAAUUUUUGUAUUUUUAGUAGAGACGGGGUUUCACCAUGUUGGCCAGGCUGGUCUCGAACUCCUGACCUCAGGUAAUCGGCCCACCUCGGGCUUCCAAAGUGCUGGGAUUACAGGCGUGAGCUACCGCGCCCAGCCCCCUGGUUCACUUUUGAAACACUGGGCUAUGCCUGGCGAGUAGUGUCCGAGAGGCGCGUGGGACGUGGCUCCGCAUAUUUCUCCUAGCUCUUUCAAAUGAAUGAACUGGAAAUAUCAUACAACCACUUCAAAGGUAAGUGAAAAUAAGGUGGUACCAGGAAAAUAUUCAAAGGGCCAUAAAUCUAUGUAGUAUCUAGGAACUUAUUUCAAAUGUUUACUCUUUAUUUUAAAUAAUCAGAAUAUGACUUUUAAGCCAUGGUGAACAAAAACAAAUACAAAAUCAAACAAGUAUCAAAUGUUCGACAUUUCAGUAUAUGGAAGUACACUGAAAGAUUUCAAUAGCAGUCUGGGUUUUUGUCAAUAAUUGCUUUAAUGGAAACUAAGUAUAUGUAUAUCAUGAAAGUACCAAACCAAUGUACUGCCUUUAAAUAACUUUCUAGGGGUCUUGAGAGUUGGCAGAUUGAUUCCAUUGUGUUACUUUUUGAAAAGGCAAACAGAAAAGAACUUUGCUUUGGGUACAUAUAUAUAUAUAUAAUAUAUAUAUAAUAUAUAUUAUAUAUAAAAUAU